rnacentral:rRNA from 1 species
GACGAACGCUGGCGGCGUGCUUAACACAUGCAAGUCGAACGGAAAGGCCCUGCUUUUGUGGGGUGCUCGAGUGGCGAACGGGUGAGUAACACGUGAGUAACCUGCCCUUGACUUUGGGAUAACUUCAGGAAACUGGGGCUAAUACCGGAUAGGAGCUCCUGCUGCAUGGUGGGGGUUGGAAAGUUUCGGCGGUUGGGGAUGGACUCGCGGCUUAUCAGCUUGUUGGUGGGGUAGUGGCUUACCAAGGCUUUGACGGGUAGCCGGCCUGAGAGGGUGACCGGCCACAUUGGGACUGAGAUACGGCCCAGACUCCUACGGGAGGCAGCAGUGGGGAAUAUUGCACAAUGGGCGGAAGCCUGAUGCAGCAACGCCGCGUGCGGGAUGACGGCCUUCGGGUUGUAAACCGCUUUCGCCUGUGACGAAGCGUGAGUGACGGUAAUGGGUAAAGAAGCACCGGCUAACUACGUGCCAGCAGCCGCGGUGAUACGUAGGGUGCGAGCGUUGUCCGGAUUUAUUGGGCGUAAAGGGCUCGUAGGUGGUUGAUCGCGUCGGAAGUGUAAUCUUGGGGCUUAACCCUGAGCGUGCUUUCGAUACGGGUUGACUUGAGGAAAGUAGGGGGAGAAUGGAAUUCCUGGUGGAGCGGUGGAAUGCGCAAAUAUCAGGAGGAACACCAGUGGCGAAGGCGGUUCUCUGGGCCUUUCCUGACGCUGAGGAGCGAAAGCGUGGGGAGCGAACAGGCUUAGAUACCCUGGUAGUCCACGCUGUAAACGGUGGGUACUAGGUGUGGGGUCCAUUCCACGGGUUCCGUGCCGUAGCUAACGCUUUAAGUACCCCGCCUGGGGAGUACGGCCGCAAGGCUAAAACUCAAAGGAAUUGACGGGGCCCCGCACAAGCGGCGGAGCAUGCGGAUUAAUUCGAUGCAACGCGUAGAACCUUACCUGGGUUUGACAUGGAUCGGGAGUGCUCAGAGAUGGGUGUGCCUCUUUUGGGGUCGGUUCACAGGUGGUGCAUGGCUGUCGUCAGCUCGUGUCGUGAGAUGUUGGGUUAAGUCCCGCAACGAGCGCAACCCUUGUUCACUGUUGCCAGCACGUUAUGGUGGGGACUCAGUGGAGACCGCCGGGGUCAACUCGGAGGAAGGUGGGGAUGACGUCAAGUCAUCAUGCCCCUUAUGUCCAGGGCUUCACGCAUGCUACAAUGGCUGGUACAGAGAGUGGCGAGCCUGUGAGGGUGAGCGAAUCUCGGAAAGCCGGUCUCAGUUCGGAUUGGGGUCUGCAACUCGACCUCAUGAAGUCGGAGUCGCUAGUAAUCGCAGAUCAGCAACGCUGCGGUGAAUACGUUCCCGGGGCU